AGGAGGCUGUGCAAUUCAGUUUGAUUUGAUUUUAUAAAAAAAUUUACUGUUGUUUUUUUUUUUACUUU
rnacentral:tRNA from 1 species